GCGCCUGUAGCUCAACUGGAUAGAGCAUCAGCUUGCGGAGCUGGCGGUUGGGCGUUCAAAUCGCCCCAGGCGCA
rnacentral:tRNA from 1 species